rnacentral:rRNA from 1 species
GACGAACGCUGGCGGCGUGCUUAACACAUGCAAGUCGAACGAUGACGACCGAGCUUGCUCGGUCUGAUUAGUGGCGAACGGGUGAGUAACAAGUGAGCAACCUGCCCUUCACUCUGGGAUAACCUCGGGAAAUCGGGGCUAAUACCGGAUAUGAGCUCCUGUCGCAUGGCGGGUGUUGGAAAGUUUUUCGGUGAAGGAUGGGCUCGCGGCCUAUCAGUUUGUUGGUGAGGUAGUGGCUCACCAAGGCGAUGACGGGUAGCCGGCCUGAGAGGGCGACCGGCCACACUGGGACUGAGACACGGCCCAGACUCCUACGGGAGGCAGCAGUGGGGAAUAUUGCACAAUGGGCGAAAGCCUGAUGCAGCGACGCCGCGUGAGGGAUGACGGCCUUCGGGUUGUAAACCUCUUUCAGCAGGGAAGAAGCGAAAGUGACGGUACCUGCAGAAGAAGCGCCGGCUAACUACGUG